AGAAUAUUCUCACUUACAUAAACAGCUACCUUCAGCUCGGUACUUGCAACCGCAAAGAGCUACAGUCCCUGCUGGGGUCACUAAAUUUUGCUAUGCGCCUCAUACCUCAAGGCCGCUCCUUUAUAUCACGACUAUUGCAUCUUUUCCCACAUUUCCUACAUGACACGCACAGGUUGUCCUUAGAUACCCAAGCUACGGCAGAUCUAAACACG